GGCGAACGACGGGAAUUGAACCCGCGCAUGGUGAAUUCACAAUCCACUGCCUUGAUCCACUUGGCUACAUCCGCC
rnacentral:tRNA from 1 species